rfam:Oryza glaberrima chromosome 2 Oglab02_0318_5, whole genome shotgun sequence.
CCUAGUUUUCGUGUCCAACGUUUGACCGUCCGUCUUAUUUAAAAAAAUUAUAAAAAAAAUUAAAAAGACAAGUCACGCAUAAAAUAUUAAUCAUGUUUUAUCAUCCAACAACAAUGAAAAUACGAAUUAUAAAAAAAUUUCAUAUAAGACGGACAGUUAAAAUUGGACACGGAAACCCAGGGUUUGCCUCUUU